rnacentral:lncRNA from 1 species
GUAGACUCCGCCCGGCUUCACCUUCUCAGUGUAGAGAAAGAUUUCCUUAAGUCUCCAAGCAAGAUCAUAUCCCCUGUACCGGCUAGGUUUGUGUGUCAACAAGCUGGAGUUAUCACAGAAAAAGGAGCCUCCCUUGUGGAAAUGUGUCCAUGAGAUCCAGCUGUAAGGCAUUUUCUCAAUUAGUGAUCAAGGGUAGGAGGGCCCAUUGUGAGUGGUGCCAUUCCUGGGCUGUUCUGGAUUCUACAGGAAAACACACUGAGCAAGCCAGUAACAUUCCUC